CCCCUUACGAGGAAGUUGUAGACUGCGAUGCUACCUUGGGAGAUGAAGAUCCAUCUGAAAAAGUCUAUAAAUUUGAAAAAUAACUCUCAUAAAAACUAAUGUGAUUUAUGUAAGCACAUUAAGGGGAAAAUACCCUGAACAGUUGGUUUAAGUGCUUAGACUUCCUAAACUUAAUAUUUCCAUAUGGUUACAUUGUAAUUUUAGAUUUUUAGUGCCUUCUUACCCUUCUCUGUUAAAUUUGAGAAACAAAUCAAGGUACCAGCACAAAGAAAUUAAGAUUAAGGAACAAAAAUGCCUGCAAUGAGUAUUUGAUUGUUCCCACAUGAAGCAAUGGUUCUUUCUACAAAUUUCCUUAAUCCUCUAGGAAACGUUAUUCCAAUUGUCAUAGGAUUGUUUGUGUGAUGUUGUGAACAGAUGAUUAUAAUAGUCUUUUGAUAUAAAUAGAAAGCAGAAAAAUAAAGGGAGAAGUGAGCACCCAACUUUUUUUUUUUUUUUUUUUUUUAAUGCAGGAUUAUAUUAGCUAAGUAAAGAUUAGUUUCAAAAUACCAGACAUGGUUUGAAUUCUUGCUGAAUUAUUUCACGCCUCUAACACUUUCAUAUUUAUCCCACAAGAUUUUCACUUUUGCCUAGUCCUUGGCGGCUUUGCAGUGAACCACCCCUAAACGUGUUUCAUCUGUAGCACCAGAACUGGCGUAUGUUCCAAUUUUUAACUAAAGGUAACAAAAAUCUUAAAAAUGAUUACUUAAGCCACCACAAACUGUUGUGUGAACCUUCUCAAAUUGAUCAAAGCCGACGUUAUAUCAAUUUAACUUAGGUUGAUCCCUAUCGACUAAAACUAAAUGGAUAUAAGUCACUCACGCAACAGCACAGAGGGAUCUGUGUCCAUGUGUCUGUUUGUGGUCUCAGCUCACUGACUAUCAUAUUGUGCAGUAAAAGGUAAGAAAAUGCAAUUCUUUGUGAGGAACGUCCACUCUGCUGUGAUCCAUUCUUGCCUUCCCAGCCCCAAAACACAAAACCAACUAACCAAAAAAAAAAAAAACAAAACAAACAUGGUAUGAGCAUGUGAGGAUGCAACACUGUAAACAGUACAAUCUGUCUUCAUGGUAUGUAUGGGACCAGUUUACAGGUAAAGAUGAAGUUGAUGAGAAAUAGCACAGUAUGUCUAGGCUGCAGCUCAGUUCUCUAGCAUAGCCUGGACAUCUGUGGGGAUGCAAAUGUACGUAAAAAAGAAAAGAAAAAAAAAACUUCUUCAGAAGUGCCACUCAUUUUUCUGAAACUGGCUGCAUGUUCAAGUUCCUACUCAGCCUUGCCUGCUGCCCAGGUGAGCAAGCAACAUGUAAUUAUGUAAAAGAGAUAAUAUUUAUCACGAGAGGUUAAGCAGUGUUAAGUUGUUGGUCAAGAGAAAAGAUUUGCAUUACUCCUUUUCUUCAGACUUAAUAAAACACUACGGAGUGAUGGUUAACACGCUGACAUUUAAAUACACAUGAUUUAAAAUAAAGGGAACAAGCCCAGCUACAUGAAUCCUUUGUCUUUUGUUGCAGAGAUUGUGUAAUUCUUUGGUUGUCUUCUUCAACUGGAAGAGAAAAAAAAAAAUCAAGGAUGGAUUCAUUGCUCUCUGCUGCACAAUUUGACAGAUGUUACUAUUUAUUAAAAAAAAAAAAAAAAAAACAUCUGGCAGCUGUUUGGCUGGACUAAUGGCUGAGCCCAGUGUGAUUAGAUACAGCUGAUGCUAGAAAACCAAGUUGGAUGGAAGGAGCUGAAGUCUGUGAUGCUGCAGGGGAUGUUAAUAUCAGAAAAAAUGGAAAACAGAUAUGGAACAAAAAUAUCAAGAUUAAUAGUUACAUAAUCUAGUUGAUUUUUCCAGGAGGACCCUAAAUAUUAAGGUGUUUUCUCAUUAGUGCCGCGUGUAUGUCAUUAAGAAAGUACAAUCAAUGAAAAAUGCAGGCUGUGGACAACCUGCAUACUGAAAUCCAGCUACAUUUCCCUAACCAAAUUUUCAUCGAACCACACCACUGCAUAGUCCCAGGACUUAAGACCGAGGCAUAUAUAGGAAAAUAUAUAGGAAUUAAAGUCAUGCAUUUGCUUGAGAUGUUUCUACGUCUCAUCUGUGUGAGGUGUAGAGGGAAACGCCAAGGAAAUAAUUCAAAGCUGGAAAAGUGACUUAGCUGGAGAGUCAGAUCCAUCUUGCCUAAAUACAAAGAUCUUUAAUACAGGCAGUGACACGGGAGGUAGUCACCACAGGCUUCUUUUGCUGUUGCUUGAGAGAAAUAGAAAUGCUGUGAGGGACAUUUCUCUAGUCCGUUUUGAACAGCCACUUUAGGAUGAGAGGAACUUCAUUCUGGAAAAACUCAUUUCUCUGUGCUGCCUGCAAAGGGAGGCAUUGGUGAGCAGCGCUCUGUAGCCAUCUGUUGGGAAGAAGUUCACAUCUGGCCAGAGAUAUCCCACCUGAAAAAGCUCAGUGUUCUUAAUUCAUUACAAGAUCACAGUUUUAACUUGAUUAUCGUACCGAGGACCUUCAAAUGAAGACAUUUGUUUCCAGUGGGCAUUGUUGUCCAGCAGAGAUAAAUAAGAAUUAACAGCUGGAGGCUGAAACCACCAGAUACAUCCAGGUGGUGUUUUAUUUAUUUAUUUAUUUUUUUAUUUUUGUACAGUGAUUGAGAAAGCCUGUUGUCACAGAAUAGCAGAAGAAGAGAGCAAUUCUUUGUCUCUUUGAGCCUUUGAUGUCUUUUUAAACACCUGUUCAGACCAAAACUCUUAGCUUGACUUAAUAAGGGCUAACUGGGUAAACUCCUGUGGACUGUGCUGCUCCAGAAAUCAGAUCAGAUGCCUCGUCCAGACCCUUUGGCUGAUCCCUGUCUUAAAUUUAUUUGAAAGGUUGCAUACUGAAAAAAAUCUCUUGCACUCUGCUGGCAAACAAACACACACAAAGAAAACAACAACAACAAAAAUCCAAAACAAACAAACAAAAACAACCAGCCAGCCAGCCAGCCAACAAACAAACAAACAAAAAGAACACAUGAAAAUGUAGCAGGCUCUUUUGUCUACUAAAAAAAAAAAAAAAAAGAGAGAUGUGAUCCUUUUUGACCAUAACUAUACCAUACAUUACUGUGGGAGUGAUGACAAGGAUUUGGUCUGCACAGUUAGGAACAACUUCACAAGCAGAAAGGGACAAGUCUUCUGAGGUUCCACCCCAGGAAACUAUGCCUACUUAGUCACAUCUCCUUUAAGUGACAAAUGAUGAUUUGAGGGACUGAGCAUGUUCAGCCCCCUUCAGCUGGUAUCAGUGUCCAUAACCAUCUAGUUUCUGAGAUAAAGAGAGAUAUUUACCCUGGGCUAUGUGCUUCAGGCUCAGUUCUGAUCUUAGAGGAUUCAGUAUAAUACGUACUGCCUCACGUGGACUGGUGCCAGCCAGCUCCUCUGCCUCCUGUACAGAGCAGAAUUACUGCAGCAGGCAGCUGGGAGACAGAGCAUGAGCUUCACUCAGUCCUGGUGUCUUUAUCCAUGGCGGUUCCUGCUUUGCUCAUUUUUCUUGGUCUAAAACAAGAAAAUAUUUUGACUGAAGCUGCAUCUCUCUUCUCUGAGCCGUGAGAGCAUCCCAUAAGGGUAAUAUCUCAGCUCCUAAUGCAACUGCUCCUUAGGGAGGAGUGGCUGGAGUAUAAGGCAGCUGCAGCAGCAAAAGUGUGUUCAUAUUGGGUAAGUCCUUGAUCCAUGAUGGGUACUGCUAGGAACAAUCUCAGUAUAAGAGAUACAGAUACUGCCCAGUGAUGGCAUUACCUAGGCUUUGAUACAGCACAAAGAAGGGAACAGAAAACAGCAUUUUAAAUGCGACAGGAUGGGUGUAUUUCUGAAGUCAAGAGGGGAAGGAUAUGUCAGUGAGAAGAUCUAUGGAGAUACAAUGGGAAAAAAAAGGGAUUGUAACAGCCUAGCAUUUUUUUCUUAGACAAUUGCUUAUUUUCAGCUUCUUGCUUACGAUCUGCAUUCUUAUGAUGUGUACUUUACACGGGGCUGAUACUUGGAUGGAAAUUUUAAUAAUGUGGAUGGUGGAAAAAAGGAAAGACAAAAUGAGUGUCCUACAAAAGAAAAGAUUAAGGUAGAUCCCUGCCUGACACAGGUCAUCAUAGACCUAUGGAAGUUGCUAAAAAGAUGAUUUAUGCUGAGGAUGUAGCCCCAGUGUCUGAAGUAAUUGACAGAUCAGGUCUCAAUGCUCAGGCACAUGGUGUGGGAGCAGCCUCCACCAGGGAAAAAUGCCCUCCUGGAGUAAUGGUGGAAGAGUGGGGAAAUUGCAAAGGCAUUGCAGCCUUGUAUGAAUUCGUGAAGCUUACUUUGAAGCACAUCCUUUUCUAAUUAGCAGCGGUGAACCUGGAAUGUCAGCCAGUACUGCAGCAGGGUGUUUUUUUUUCCCCCUCAUAUCUUGAUCAAAACUUCUUUUGACUUCUCAAACUGCUCAAAGUACAAUUGAAGGAAGGAUAAAGACAGGAAAGAUAAAAAGUACAUUCAGUGACACAAACUAGCAGUAACGAAGGAAACUGAACAGUAGCUCAUGUUUUGCUUUAAAAACACUACUGCGCCAUACAAGCCAGCCUUAUUUAUUUAUUUUAAAAUGAAAAUCUCUCUUCUGCCAAAAAUGAAGUAUUUAGAAACUACAUUCUGGAACAAUAAAUCUGUGGGAAACUUUAAUGUUGCAUAGAAUGUGCUUGAUUAUGUGAACAUAUUAGUAAUAACAGAUCUCAACAGCACUUCCUAUGAGGAGCAAUUUCCUAUUUGCAGCUUUCUUCAGUCUGGUCAUAACCUCAGUGCUCUCGUAGGAGUAAAUGAGACAUCCCAUCAGAGACCAUCAGAGGUUAGGGAAGGGUCCUGGAAGGCGGCCUUUGCUGGGACCAGCAGAAUCCAUUCCAGGCUGUGUAAUGUCUUCUUACUCUUUUCAGAGCAAUUAAACGGAUGCCACCUGCUAGUGAUGUACAUCCUUAAGCAUAAGCAACAUCAAGACACAUUUCCUUAUAUAAGGAGAUUUAAGUCUGAUUCAUUAAGAUCAGUUGUUUACUCAUACAGAAAACCAUAUUAUAAAAUUUUCCCUGGGAAUGCAUCAAGCCCCAUAUGUAAAUAUCAGCGAGUUUGCUCUCCCUUCUCCAGUAGAGGCUUUAUCUUUUGCAUCAAUUUGUCUUUUUACAUACUGGUUAAUAACACUAUUUUAAUUUACAGCCUGAAUGUAUUCACCUGCAGCUAAUACUCAUUGCUCCUUUAGCUGCUAUGCAUUCCUCACUUCCCUGACAUUUACUUCCCAAUUAAUCGACAGCAAUCGGAUUCUCCCUCAGCUUUCAUUUUGCUAGGCUGAGCAAAUCUCAUUUGCCCAUUUCACGGCUUCAUCCGGCUGGCGGCUUAGAGUCCUCUUGUAUACCAGAAUCUUCCCCCUCCUUAAUUGGAAGCAAACAAAGAGCUUCUAUCUCAAGGCAGAUGUUUUUCUUCAUUCCUAAGGGCGUGUUUCACUUCACUUCACUUGGUCUAAACGGCAUAUUGUCAGCUUCCUCAGAUUUGCUCCUUUCCAGCCAUGAAGCAACCCCCAACCUAGAUAAGCCUUCCUACAUGCCCAAGAGCCGUGCAUUGGCUGGCUAACUCCUCUUUCUCAACAGUGGGCUUUUUCUUUAGCUUACCUUGGAUGACAAGACCCUCUCCAGUUGCAUGAAGAUGUGCUGUGCAGCCAUUUUUCUGAGCCCUGACUGCAAGCCCUGGAUCAGCUGGGAGCUGAAGUAACAUCUCAGAUACUCUGCUCGAUGUGGAUUUCCAGCCCUGUGGGUUAAUGGGACUACUACCCCAGCACAAUGCUCACCUGCCUUCCCUGGAGCAAUCCUGUCCACACCAUUUAGCCCUGCUCAGCUUGUCCCACCAGAUGUAAUGGAUUGUGCAAUGUUAUUUCAACCUUUACACCUGGCAAGAAAAAAAAAAAAUCUUUUCUAUUCUGUGCAGCUUACGAUACUGCAUUUCUGCCAUUGAACAUAAAUGUCAUUCCCCAGUAAAUUAAGCUGUGACUAA